CAAAGGUUUGGUCCUGACUUUUCUGUCAGCUUUAGCUAGAUUUACACAUGCAAGUAUCCGCACCCCCGUGAGAAUGCCCAUAGUCCCCCGCUCGGAGACAAGGAGCUGGUAUCAGGCACAACCCUUGUUUAGCCCACGACGCCUUGCUUAGCCACACCCUCAAGGGUAUUCAGCAGUGAUUAACAUUAAGCCAUAAGUGAAAACUUGACUUACUCAAAGCUAAGAGGGCCGGUAAAACUCGUGCCAGCCACCGCGGUUAUACGAGAGGCCCAAGUUGACAGACCACGGCGUAAAGAGUGGUUAGGGAAAUUUCUAAACUAAAGCCGAACGCUUCCUGAGAGCUGUUAUACGCAUAUCGAAGUAUGAAGACCAACAACGAAAGUGGCUUUAACCUUUAACCUGAACCCACGAGAGCUAAGGAACAAACUGGGAUUAGAUACCCCACUAUGCUUAGCCCUAAACAUUGACUGUGAACUACACCCCACAUCCGCCCGGGAACUACGAACGUAAGUUUAAAACCCAAAGGACUUGGCGGUGCUUUAUAUCCCCCUAGAGGAGCCUGUUCUAGAACCGAUUAUCCCCGUUCAACCUCACCCUCUCUUGCCCCAUUCCGCCUAUAUACCACCGUCGUCAGCUCACCCCGUGAGGGUCUAAUAGUAAGCAAAAUCGGCACAGCCCAAAACGUCAGGUCGAGGUGUAGCGAAUGAGAGGGGAAGAAAUGGGCUACAUUCGCUAACAACUAGCGCAUAAACGAAUAUAUACAUUGAAAUAUGUUAUUGAAGGAGGAUUUAGUAGUAAGUGGAAAAUAGAGCGUUCCACUGAAACCGGCCCUAAAGCACGCACAUACCGCCCGUCACCCUCUCCAUUCCAGCCCUCUUACUCCACCUUUACUCAUAAAAACAUCCACUCGGCUAUUUAACAUUACUUGGUUAAAUUUUUAGGGGAGGAAAGUCGUAACAUGGUAAGCGUAUCGGAAGAUGUGCUUGGAUCAAA
rnacentral:ncRNA from 1 species